GAUUUCUGGUUUAACAUGCUUGGCCCGCUACGAUAAGUGGUGAGUGCCGAGUCGUGUUUACCAUCCUUCUAGACACAGCUUCUACUCUUCAUUGAGCCGGAGGUUGCAUCUAGAUCUUUUACUUUGAAAAAAUUAGAGUGUUUAAAGCAAGCGUUUGCUAUGAAUACAUUAGCAUGGAAUAAUAAUUUAGGACUUUGGUUCUAUUUUGUUGGUUUCUAGGACUGAAGUAAUGAUUGAUAGGGAUAGUUGGGGGUGCUAGUAUUCAGUGGCCAGAGGUGAAAUUCUCGGAUUCACUGAAGACUAACUUAUGCGAAAGCAUU
rnacentral:rRNA from 1 species